AGUGAACGCUGGCGGUAGGCCUAACACAUGCAAGUCGAACGGCAGCACAGUAAGAGCUUGCUCUUACGGGUGGCGAGUGGCGGACGGGUGAGGUAUACAUCGGAAUCUACUUUUUCGUGGGGGAUAACGUAGGGAAACUUACGCUAAUACCGCAUACGACCUACGGGUGAAAGCAGUGGAUCUUCGGACCUUUCGCGAUUGAAUGAGCCGAUGUCGGAUUAGCUAGUUGGCGGGGUAAAGGCCCACCAAGGCGACGAUCCGUAGCUGGUCUGAGAGGAUGAUCAGCCACACUGGAACUGAGACACGGUCCAGACUCCUACGGGAGGCAGCAGUGGGGAAUAUUGGACAAUGGGCGCAAGCCUGAUCCAGCCAUACCGCGUGGGUGAAGAAGGCCUUCGGGUUGUAAAGCCCUUUUGUUGGGAAAGAAAAGCAGCAGGUUAAUACCGCGCUGUUCUGACGGUACCCAAAGAAUAAGCACCGGCUAACUUCGU
rnacentral:rRNA from 1 species